CAAACUUGGUGCAUCGCCUCCAAAACCUUUGACUUCUUGGGCUUUCGGCACGGGGUUUGUCAGCUUCACAAUCGUUAGCCCUCGGCCAUGGCGUUCCUUUCCCCUCCGAGGACGUUGAAGAGAAAGAAGAGGACCAGCAAAGCCACCAAGAAGAAAACUAAGAUAACUGCAGAGGCCAUACCCAUGGAAACUACAUCGGUCGACCUUGACGCAGCUAUCGUCGUCACGGCCGAUGAAGACUCUCACACCGAGGCCAAGCAGCAGCCGCCUACCCGGCUAUCGACCGAUACUGCCUUCAUGCCGACCGACGUCGCCGACUCGAUUCCUGUUACCGAUGCGGUGCCUACCCCAGCAAGCCUGGCUCCUGCGUCCACUGCAGUUGCCCCAAGUUUGAGGUCUGGCACAAAGAGAAAGCUUGUUGUAACAUUCUGAUUUUCGCGAGUCCAAAAAUUCCGUUAAUCAAAAAUCCCAAUCUCAAAAAUCCUGAUUAUCGUACCAACUCCCAAGCUCAAUUGUUCCUGAGGAAUAAUAAAUCAUCUAUU